AGCAGAAAACUCAUACAGGUCUGAAACACAUUAGGGACUGCCGCCUCCGUGGUGCCCGUCCAGACAAUUGCAGCUGCAUUCCACCGAGGACUGGAUGAUCGCAGCAUUUUCCUCCUUAAAUUCAGAUACUCGUUGAAGUGAGACUCCCAUAAGAUGUCUAAUGAAGCAAAUAAGUGAUUCAGUGCUGGUUUUGAAGAGGCAGGAGGGAGCAAAAACAUUGCAACGCCGAGGCUGGGACCCACAAGACAGUGCUGUCGACUCUCAUUUAGAUGUUUUACUAAGACUCUGCCAAAAGUGUUUUUUCACCAUUUGUUCCGAAUAAUCAGAGAAAACCCUCAGAGCUCAACUUUCGCUUUGAGAAUGUGGAAACAAAGACAAAGACAUGCCUGCCGGGCCCGAAGUAAAUCUGGAAUACUAGUUUAGCAAGUCUAAUGCAUUCAGUUUAUGUGGUGUAAGAAGUGUAAUUAAAUGUCACUGAUUAGAUCACUCAGAAAUGAAUAUUCUGUUGUACUUAAGUUGUUUUGCGGUUUUAUGACGGCAUUUCUUCCUUGGAAUUGACACGCUUGCACAUUAUAAACUUAGUUGUAUCACAGUAGCUCUCUGUGAAAUUUAAUCAUUAUUUGCUCAUUAUGUUGACCACUAGAGGGCUGUUAACUAUUAGAAAUGGUGUUAAGUAUAACCAACAGUACUUUAGUCUUUAUGUGUUCCUUUUUAGUUCCAUUUUAGAUGGUUUAAGUAAGUUUGCUAGCCUUUGAAACUUUUAUUUGUUUUUUAAUGAAAAAAAAAAAACUAAUUAGAAAUGAAAUAGUUUGGGUUUAAAAACUGGAUUAAAUUGUGUAUUCAUUGACAAACUCA